rnacentral:rRNA from 1 species
UGUGUAGGCGGUUGCGCAAGUCUGGUGUGAAAUCUUCACCGCUUAACGGGAAGAGGUCAUUGGAAACUGCGUAACUCGAGUAUGGUAGAGGCAAGCGGAAUUCCUGGUGUAGCGGUGGAAUGUGUAGAUAUCAGGAAGAACACCUGUGGCGAAGGCGGCUUGCUGGGCCACCACUGACGCUGAAACACGAAAGCGUGGGGAGCAAACGGGAUUAGAUACCCCGGUAGUCCACGCUGUAAACGGUGCGCACUAGGUGUGAGGGGUAUCGACCCCCCUUGUGCCGCAGUCAACACAUUAAGUGCGCCGCCUGGGGAGUACGGCCGCAAGGUUGAA